GAUUUUAAAAGUAAAAAUACUAAUUCACUCAAACUUCCAUUUUUGGUAAGGUUAUCUCUUCGAGACCAAUCCGACGAGCUUCAAUUCGAAGCUCAGCCCGUGGCUCUUCAAUGGCGGAUCGAGUUCCACAGAUUUCAUAAAAGCAUUCAUUCAUUCAUUCACGUUGAUUUUUGAGAUUGCUUAAGAGUCUCUGAAGCUCGAAACAAUGGCGUUUUCUUCUUGGUUUUCUCGCUUCCGUUCCUCCUCCAACUCCUUAUACCACUCGUUUUUCCGUGGCGCUUCGUUUCAGAAUCUUGGUGCUCAAACAUCUGUCAUUUCCAGAACUUCUUCCUCUCAGAACGGUGGCCGCCGAUUCUUGUUGUGGUCCACCUCCGUGGUUCCUUUCGCUCUUGCUGGUUCGCUUGCGUUUCAGUUUCAGUUUCAGCUCCAGUCCAAUCCGUCGUUCUGUGACGAUUCUGAUAUUCACCAUCGAAAUAUCAGCUUCGGGGGCAAAGAUAGUACCGAGUAUGUUGUCAAAGGCUCACACAAUGACAUUUCGCAAGUGUUUAUUGAUGAAUUGGGAAGAAUAUGUAAAGAUAACAUGACGUUAGAUUAUGAUGAGAGGUACUUUCAUGGGAAACCACAAAAUAGCUUUCACGCAGCAGUUAAUAUCCCUGAUGUGGUUGUCUUUCCCAGGUCUGAAGAGGAAGUUUCUGAAAUAGUAAAAUUAUGUGACCAAUAUAAGGUACCUAUUGUGCCUUAUGGGGGAGCUACAUCUAUCGAAGGUCACACAUUAGCACCUAAUGGAGGGCUUUGCAUAGAUAUGUCUUUGAUGAAUAAAGUUAAAGCACUACACGUUGAAGAUAUGGAUGUAACUGUUGAGCCUGGAAUUGGAUGGAUGGAGCUUAAUGAAUACCUAGAGCCUUAUGGACUAUUUUUUCCUCUUGACCCAGGCCCUGGUGCAACAAUUGGGGGUAUGUGUGCCACACGAUGCUCUGGUUCACUAGCUGUGAGGUACGGUACCAUGCGCGAUAAUGUCAUCAAUCUAAAGGCAGUCCUUGCCAAUGGUGAUGUUGUCAAGACCGCAUCUCGUGCUCGAAAGAGUGCUGCAGGGUAUGAUUUAACCCGUCUGAUGAUUGGAAGCGAAGGAACUCUUGGUGUAAUAACUGAGAUCACUCUGAGACUUCAGAAACUUCCAGAGUAUUCUGUGGUUGCAAUGUGUAAUUUCCCUUCUAUUAAAGAUGCUGCAGAUGUUGCUAUUGCAACUAUGUUGUCUGGUAUACAGGUGUCAAGAAUGGAGUUGUUGGACGAGGUUCAACUGAGGGCUAUCAAUAAUGCUAAUGGAAAGAAUUUACCUGAAACUCCGACACUAAUGUUUGAAUUCAUAGGCACAGAGGCAUAUUCACGUGAGCAAACAAAAAUUGUUCAGCAGAUAGUUUCUGAACACAAUGGCUCAGAUUUUGUCUUUGCUGAAGAUCCAGAAGCCAAAAAAGAACUGUGGAAGAUAAGGAAGGAAGCGCUAUGGGCAUGCUUUGCAUUAGUACCCCAUUUUGAGGCAAUGAUCACGGAUGUAUGUGUUCCUCUAUCUCACCUUGCGGAAUUGAUAUCAAGUUCUAAACGAGAGCUAGAUGCAUCCUCACUCGUUUGCACGGUCAUUGCCCAUGCUGGUGAUGGAAACUUUCACACGGUGAUCCUGUUUGAUCCAAAGGAAGAAGAACAGCGGAAAGAAGCUGAGAAACUCAACCAUAUGAUGGUCUAUAAAGCAUUGUCAAUGGAAGUUCCCAGUUAAAACAUCUGAAGGCGUCAACAUUAGGUCCAAACCUCCCCUAAAACCUUCAAAUUCUGGAAAGGAACAUGCACCGGCGAGCAUGGGGUUGGUACAGGAAAAAUGAAGUACCUGGAAAAGGAACUGGGCUUGGAGGCAUUGAGGACAAUGAAACGAAUAAAGACGGCGUUGGAUCCAAACAAUAUUAUGAAUCCAGGAAAGCUCAUACCUCCCCAUAUUUGUUUCUGAACAAAUCCAUUUUAUGUAUUUAUAUGUCAACGAACUUCUCUUAAAUAAGCAUGUUACUUUAUAAAUGAUGUUUUGAAUUUUA